UGAGGAAUAUUGGUCAAUGGGCGGAGAGCCUGAACCAGCCAAGUCGCGUGAGGGAAGACGGUCCUAUGGAUUGUAAACCUCUUUUGCCGGGGAGCAAAGAGCGGCACGUGUGCCGCGCCGAGAGUACCCGGAGAAAAAGCAUCGGCUAACUCCGUGCC
rnacentral:rRNA from 1 species